UUUCGAGCUACGUGAUAUGUAUUUAGUUAUUUAGCUGUCAAAUAUAUAAUUCGUACAAGUGCAAUUGUGUUUUUGGCGGUGAUUACGAUAAAUACGCUCAACGAGUAUCGGAUUUUUUUGACGAUUUGUUAAAGUUAUUCGAAGCUGAUAAUGCUAUAGCUACUGUAGCAAGGAUAUUGAAUUGUCCUCUAUGGAGUUAUGAUUCAGACUUUUAUGUGUUUGGGGCAUUGCACAUAUCAUUUGAUACAUUGGACAAUUACACGGUGAAAAGUUCAACUGGAAAUGGUUACACGAAACGUUGUAAAAUUUAUAAAGUUGAACACUUAUUAAAUUCUUAUAGAGGUUUAAGUCAAUCUACACUGCCAUUAGCUGCAAUAUUACUAGGCAAUGAUUAUGUAAAACGUGGUACAUUUAGAAACCUCUUUCGUUAUUUAAAGAUACGACGAAUAACAAGAAAAAGGUAUAGUAAUCGUCAGUAUUGUAUAGAAGCAACUUUACAAUGGUUGAGCGGAUUCUACACCUUGGACAAAGCACUCAUUGGAAUACUAUGUAGAUCACCUAAAACCGAAUAUGCAGCUCGUGCCACAACACAUUCUAAUGUACAUAGAAGAAACUGAUAAAAAUGGAGACUUUGAAUCAGCAGAAGAAGAAGAAGAAGAGGAAGAGAACGAAGUUGAAAUAUGAAUUUCUUACGGGCAAUUAUCCUGCAUAUUUUAUGGACUUGUUGGUUCGACGUUUAUAUAUUUGUCCUGUACAAAUAGAGGAUUAUUCCUAUCCAUUGAGCAAUGUAAUAAGUUUAAAAAUUAUUAGAGUUAUAUAUGCAUUUCUGCAAUCAGGAAUUAAUAGAAGGAGAGGUUUCAUGAAAUACAUGAUGAGAGACUGUAAUAAAAAGCUUAAAUGUUACGAACAAGAAGGCACUGACACUAAAUUUUCUUCCCCAUUACUGUCCCUAUCUAAUCUUAGAGAAGUACCAUUAACGAGUCCAGGAUUAAAAAAUAAUGUACAAACAUGCGUCAUUGAUUUUUCAUUACCAUUUGAAUUUAAAUUCAAGUUAUAUAGACACAAAUAUAUAAGCAAAGCCCAUAUUGAAUGAA